CAGGAGCCAGGAGCUUCUUCUGGGUCUCCCACGUGGGUGCAGGGGGCCCAAGGACUUGGGGCAUCUUUUACUGCUUUCCUAGGCCAUAGCAGGGAGCUGGAUCGGAAAUGGAGCAGCCGGGACUCGAACUGGCACCCAUAUGGGAUGCCCACACUGCAGGCAGCAGCUUUACCCACUACACCACAGUGCCGGCCCCAAAACACGUUUUAUUCAUCGUCCUCCGCCUCAUCGCUGUUGAGUGCCUGGUGCACCCCAUGGCCCGGCAAAUACUUCUACCUAAAUUACCAACGUCUCCACCUCCUCCUGAAACCUUCUGGAUCACUCUUCCAGGAACUUCCAGGAGCCAUGAUGGCUACCACUCAAUUGGCCCCUCCUAGGGCAUCAGACCUGACAUUUCUUGAGAAUGGAGACCUCAUUUCCCUGCUACUCCCGACAAGCCCCUGCUCCCAGUGGGCCCAGCACCAGUGCUUAGAGCUGGAGACCCUUGGAAGGAUACAGAAGGAAGGAGGAAAGCAUUGGGGAAGAGCCUCACUAGGGUUUCUUACUGUGGUCGGAGGUCAGAGGAACUCGGAGUGGGGACCUGGAAUCUGCCACAGACCCUGGGGACACUGCGUUUGCCAGAGGGGAGAGCGGCCUGAGAAGAAGAGAAGCAAGAGCCAUUGAAGGUGCUGCAGGCACAAAAGGUCAGCAUCUGUGGGACCCGGGCUGGGCAAAACCCAACCUUGGGACAGGCGUUCCGUGCAGCAGUGAGGAUGCCGCUGGACACUCCCGUGCCGUAUCAGAACCCUGGGCUCAUGUACUGGCCCCACCGCCAAUCCCGGCUUCCUGCUCCAGCACAUGCUGGGAGGGAGAAGUUGAAGGCUCGGUUACUUGGGUCCCUUCCACAUCCUGGAUUGAGUUCCGGGCUCUGGGCUUUGGCUUGGCCCAGCCCCUGAUUAUUGUGGACAUUUGAGGAGUGAAUCAACUGAUGGAUGAUCUCUCUUUUUAAGCCAGUCCCAAAGGGACAAAUAUCCUAUGCCCCUGAUCGGUGACAACUAACCAAGCACCAAAAAGGAAACCUGUUGAAGUGAAAUGGGCACUAUGAGAAACAGUGACUUGAUCAGCCCUUGUCCUGACUGUUGAUGUACAAUUUAAUACUUUAUCCCUUUUAGUAUUUUUUUUGUUCUGGUUAAUACUAUUGGUUGAGCUCUGUGGUUAACACACAAUUAUUCUUGGGUGUUUGGAUUUCGCUGAAGAGUGAUCCCUGUUCGAUAUAAGAAUGGGAAAAGGAGAGAGAAGAGAUGUACAAUUCAGGACAUGCUCAAUCGGACUUGCCCCAAAUGGUGGAGUUAGAAAUGUGCCAGGGGAUUCCAAUACAAUCCCAUCAAGGUUGCGUGUACCAAUCUCACUAGUCCAAGUGAUCAAUUUCUGUUCACAAUUGAUCACACUGAUAGGUCUAAGAGUCAAAGGGAUCACACAAACAAGACUAGUGUCUGCUAAUACUAACCGAUAGAAUAAAAAAGGGAGAGAACAAACCA
rnacentral:lncRNA from 1 species